rnacentral:snoRNA from 1 species
GUCUCCUAGGUGGGGGAAUUGAGAAUCAGAAUUUGUCCUUGGACAUGUAAGAAUUGGAGGCAAAGAGGCGUGGACUUGGAGAAGCCGGGAGCCAGCUUGCUCCCCGCAGGCUCAAGAUCAUCCUUUCCCACCCAG